rnacentral:lncRNA from 1 species
UUGUGCAAAUGUCGUGAAAUAUUGAAAAUUCGCCAGGAUAAUAAAUUAACUUAUUGUGAUGUUGUGGUUCCAAAAGAAGUCAAUGAAUUCCAGAAAUAUCACACAGAUUGUUAUAGACGUUUUACCGCCUUGCCGCAAAAGUACAGAGUGUCUGCAUCUAAACCAGAAGUUGCAUCAACUUCAACAUCACAACAACAUGCUGAAAAUCAGAGCGAUAAUACUGAUGAAGUUGCGGCAACUGAACCUACCGUACAUACUCAUUCUGACUCUUGUACAACACAAUCAGCAGCUGGUUCAGCCGAGCAACACCAUGCUGAAAAUCAAAGUGAUGACAUUGAGAUGGAAAGACUUACAGUUUCUACAGCACAAUCAGCAGCUAAUUCAACAGAGCAGUAUGUAUAUCAAUAUCGAUGAAUGUUUUCGUAUAAGUUUAU